rnacentral:rRNA from 1 species
AAUAUUGGACAAUGGGGGAAACCCUGAUCCAGCCAUCCCGCGUGUGCGAUGAAGGCCUUCGGGUUGUAAAGCACUUUUGGCAGGGGGGAAAAGGUUCUGGCUAUUAAUCAGAACUGCUGACGGUACCUGCAGAAUAAACACCGCCUCACUACCUGCCAUCAGCCCCGGUAAAACGUAGGGGGCAAACGUUAAACGGAAUUUCCGGGCGUAAAACGGGCGGAGGCGGUUUGGCAAGAAGGAUGUUAAAUCCCGGGGGUUAACCUCGGAAACGCAUUCUUAACUGCGAGGCUAGAGUAUGUCAGAGGGGGGUAGAAUUCCCCGUGGAGCAGUGAAAAGCGUAGAGAUGUGGAGGAAUACCGAUGGCGAAGGCAGCCCCCUGGGAUAAUAAUGACGCUCAUGCACGAAAGCGUGGGGAGCAAACA